GACAGGCAGCCCGGCGCCAGGCCUGAAACCAGGCCUGGGCCUGCCUGGCCUAAACCCAGUAGUUAAAAAUCAACUCAUAACUUAGAAACUGAUGUUAUUCAUAGAUUCCAGACAUUGUAUAGAAGAACAUUGUGAAACUCCCUGUCCUGUUCUGUUUCUCUCUGACCACCGGUACAUGCAGCCCCUGUCAUGUACCGCCUGCUUGCUCAAAUCAAUCACGACCCUUUCAUGUGAAAUCUUUAGUGUUAUGAGCCCUUAAAAGGGACAGAAAUUGUGCAUUCGGGGAGCUUGGAUUUUAAGGCAGUACCUUGCCAAUGCUCCCAGCUGAAUAAAGCCCUUCCUUCUACAACUAGGUGUCUGAGAGGUUUUGUCUGCGACUCGUCCUGCUACAUUUCUUGGUUCCCUGACCAGGAAGCGAGGUGACUGACGGACGGCCGAGGCAGCCCCUUAGGUGGCUUAAGCCUGCCCUGUGGAGCAUCCCUGAGGGGGACUCUGGCCAGCCUGAGUGAUGUGGUCCGAAGAGCGCUUGGGUAGGAAAUUGCCCCUGUGGAAUGCCUCGUCAGAGCAGCGCAUAGCAGGCCCCCACGGAGGAUUAACACAGUGGCUGAACACUGGGAAGGAACUGGCCCUUGGAGUCCAGACAUCUGAAACUUGAUGCAGAAAGCAAUAUUUAACUGAUCAGCUGCCACUCACAUCAUGAAUCAGAAGCAGCCUUAAAAGAAAGGAUCCCUUCUUGCUAUUUUGAAGGCUUCUGUGUUCCAUAGCAUCAAGACGCCUGCAGCACCUCCAUGCAUAUCAUCCUCACACAAUAGUCUUCAAAAGCCAGAAAAGAGAGGGAGAGUCAUGGGUCAUCACUUUCUCAAGUUUUUAAAUUUAAUUAUUUUAAAUUAAGAAAAAUUGCUCAGACAUCUUAUGACAGGCCUACUUCAUUUUUCUUUAGUCAGAAUUGUGCCCAAUGACCAUUUCUAAACCAAUUAUUAACAAGGACAAUGGAGAUACUGACUUGUUUUUCAAUAGUCAAAAUCUACCUUCUGGUGUUGAAAAGGGAGCCAACAUCAACUGAAGUGCAUGACUACAUGAUUCUUGAACAAAUAUGAAUGAAGAAGAAAGUAUGGAUUGGGUUUGUGUAGCCAACUGGAAGUCUACUACAUGUAGAAAAUUGUAAUUCAAGAUGAGUAAUGCUGUAAAAGAUAUAUGUACAAGAUCUAUAAAGUUUUAUAAAAUAAUCUAAGAAUGAAAAAUUUUUUAUUUCUAAGUUGAUUAGUUAUGACUAUAAGUGCAAGAAGAAUUCACAGAAGGAUGAAAAAAAUCUAAAAUCCUGGCCAAUUCUUGUCAAAGCAUAAUUUCUUUAUUAACAAAAACCUCUUUUCCAGUGGAAUGAAAAAACAUUAGGGAAAGAGAAAAGAAGAAACAGGGUUUUUUGCUUUGUUCUAUCUCUGAGUCCAUAUCAGUGGUUAAUGUCAUGUAACAAUCUCUAAAAUCUGGUUAAAAUUUCUCAUGAGUGUAUUAUGAAACUUAAAUGGGAUAAAUGUAUAAAUGUAAGUUGUGAAUUUUUAAGUUCCCAUACAAAUAUAAUAUGUAUUCAUGCAUGUAUAUAUCACACCUCUCUCUCUGCCCAUCCAUCUUUUUAUCUCAUCAACAUAGUCAGUCAAUGUCACAUCUAUUUUUACAAUAUCCUCUUGUUAACUAAUGCCAUGUACUAAAUUCACAGUGCUACCUACAGCCAAUUCCAUCAUAAUUUUCAGAACAUCAAAACUAUCAAGAGAAUACAAAAUCAAAGUGACUUUUCAGCCAGAUAGGGCUAUGACAUCUAAAUUGUAUAUUAACAGCUCCAUGUUCCACAGACAGGAAUGUGAAUCUCUGCUGCAUUAUGGUGCUUUAGAAAGAAAUAAGAAGGCACUUUUCAGCAACUACCUUAGUAUCUCCCUGGAGAAACCCAAGCUAUGACAGCAGGUACCAGAAUUGGCCCAAGAAAGUAGACCUUCCAAAUGGAUUUUGCAGCUGGAUCACCUGUGGGCAUAUGGGAAAUAACUGAGUCCUUUGGAGCUGAAAAUGAAAAACUGAGUAGCUGGUGGAAGAAGCGAGAUGGGUUUGGAACUCACAGGCUAUGUUUCUGGAUGCAUCACAUUUGCAAGAGGGAAGUUUUGGUGUCCCUGUGGGUAUAUUAGCACUCCUUUACUCCAUUUCUCUGUAGCUACUCAAGCAAGUGACAAGCUGCAGAGUCCAAGAAAGGUGACAGAUAUGAAGAAAUGCAGUGGUUGCAAAGGACAAAGACAAUGGCAACACAAAUAAAAGAAAUUAUGAGAAGGAAAUAAAUGU
rnacentral:lncRNA from 10 species